GUGGGGAAUCUUAGACAAUGGGGGAAACCCUGAUCUAGCCAUGCCGCGUGAGCGAUGAAGGCCUUAGGGUUGUAAAGCUCUUUCAGAGGGGAAGAUAAUGACGGUACCCUCAGAAGAAGCCCCGGCUAACUCCGUGCCAGCAGCCGCGGUAAUACGGAGGGGGCUAGCGUUGUUCGGAAUUACUGGGCGUAAAGCGCACGUAGGCGGACCAGAAAGUCAGGGGUGAAAUCCCGGGGCUCAACCCCGGAACUGCCUUUGAAACUCCUGGUCUUGAGGUCGAGAGAGGUGAGUGGAAUUCCGAGUGUAGAGGUGAAAUUCGUAGAUAUUCGGAGGAACACCAGUGGCGAAGGCGGCUCACUGGCUCGAUACUGACGCUGAGGUGCGAAAGCGUGGGGAGCAAACAGGAUUAGAUACCCGAGUAGUCC
rnacentral:rRNA from 1 species